UAUGAGACGAAUACGUUCAUUGCUUGAAGAAGUUAUCUAUAAGUAUAAAGAUAGAGUGUGGUGUGUGGAAAUUAGAACACACAGCCUUCUCAUACAAAACUAAACAUACAGAUUAAUUUGUAGAGCAAAAAAUGGUUUCCAAAAUAAAUGUAUUAUUUAUGGGUGUUUUGUUAGUAAUGGUGCUUCUCAUUACUUCGGAAGUUGCAGAUGCUACGAGACUACUCGCUCAGACGUCCAAUACACUACUGCCAUCUGGGGAAGUUGAGGUAAGAAGUCCUGAUGGUCCUGUAUAUGAUUGCGCCAACGGCUGCUGUGGUGUUAGUGUGAGCAGAUAUUGCCGCUGCUGCCGUUAACAACAUCAAACUCAAGCCACAUAAAUAAACUAAAUUAAUUUUCUUUUUUAAAGUUGGGAUUUUUCUGUAUAAGUUUCAGUAUUUAAGAACAAUAAAACAACUCCACUUGCUU